rnacentral:misc_RNA from 1 species
UCCUGGUUUCCCAGGCAGUCCCAUCAGAGUGCCUCCUUACGGAGUAGCAACUGAUGGCAGGAGUUGCGCUCGUUAAAGGACUUAACCCAACAUCUCACGACACGAGCUGACGACAGCCAUGCAGCACCUGUUUAUCUGUCCAAGCUUUCGCCGGAAAACCAUAUUUCUAUGGCGAUCAGAUAUAUGUCAAGCCUAGGUAAGGUUCCUCGCGUAGUGUCGAAUUAAACCACAUGUUCCACCGCUUGUGCGGACCCCCGUCAAUUUCUUUGAGUUUUAAUCUUGCGACCGUACUCCCCAGGCGGAUCACUUAACGCGUUAGCUACGACACUAAACCUGCAAAACAGGCUUAACGUCUAGUGAUCAUCGUUUACAGCGUGGACUAC